rnacentral:rRNA from 1 species
GAUGAACGCUGGCGGCGUGCCUAAUACAUGCAAGUCGAGCGAAGCGGGGACGGGUGAGUAACACGUGGCUAACCUCCUAUAAGACUGGGAUAACUUCGGGAAACCGGAGCUAAACCGGAUACUUAUAAUUGUAUCCGCGCUGCAUUAGCGAGUUGGUAAGGUAACGGCUUACCAAGGCCACGAUGCAUAGCGGACCUGAGAGGGUGAUCGGCCAAACUGGAACUGAGACACGGUCCAGACUCCUACGGGAGGCAGCAGUAGGGAAUCUUCCGCAAUGGGCGAAAGCCUGAUGGAGCAACGCCGCGUGAGUGAUGAAGGUCUUCGGAUCGUAAAACUCUGUCAUUAGGGAAGCGGUACCUAAUCGGAAAGCCACGGCUAACUACGGUCCAGCAGGCGCGGUAAUAC